rnacentral:tRNA from 1 species
GGAGGGUUCAGCUCAGUGGUAGAGUGCGUGCUUAGCAUGCAUGAGGUCCUGGGUUCAAUCCCCAGUACUUCCA